rnacentral:rRNA from 1 species
CUGGGAAACUAGGUCUAAUACCGGAUAUGACCUGCCUCCGCAUGGUGGUGGGUGGAAAGUUCCGGCGGUACGGGAUGGGCCCGCGGCCUAUCAGCUUGUUGGUGGGGUGAUGGCCUACCAAGGCGACGACGGGUAGCCGGCCUGAGAGGGUGACCGGCCACACUGGGACUGAGACACGGCCCAGACUCCUACGGGAGGCAGCAGUGGGGAAUAUUGCACAAUGGGCGAAAGCCUGAUGCAGCGACGCCGCGUGAGGGAUGACGGCCUUCGGGUUGUAAACCUCUUUCAGCAGGGACGAAGCGUGAGUGACGGUACCUGCAGAAGAAGCACCGGCUAACUACGUGCCAGCAGCCGCGGUAAUACGUAGGGUGCGAGCGUUGUCCGGAAUUAUUGGGCGUAAAGAGCUCGUAGGCGGUUUGUUGCGUCGGCCGUGAAAACUUCACGCUUAACGUGGAGCCUGCGGUCGAUACGGGCAGACUUGAGUUCGGCAGGGGAGACUGGAAUUCCUGGUGUAGCGGUGAAAUGCGCAGAUAUCAGGAGGAACACCGGUGGCGAAGGCGGGUCUCUGGGCCGAUACUGACGCUGAGGAGCGAAAGCGUG